rnacentral:rRNA from 1 species
GACGAACGCUGGCGGCGUGCCUAAUACAUGCAAGUAGGACGCAGUUGCGAACGGGUGAGUAACGCGUAGGUAACUACCUAUUAGAAGGGGAUAACUAUUGGAAACGAUAGCUAAUACCGCCUACUAGUAGAUGGACCUGCGUUGUAUUAGCUAGUAGGUAGGGUAAGGGCCUACCUAGGCAACGAUACAUAGCCGAACGUGGAUGGUGAUCGGCCAGACUGGGACUGAGAAAAGGCCCAGACUUCUACGGGAGGCAGCAAUAGGGAAUCUUCGGCAAUGGGGGGAAACCCGACCGAGGAACGCCGGGUUGGUGAAGAAGGUUUUCGGAUCGGAAAGCUCUGUUGUUAAGGAAGCGGUACUUACCCAGAAAGGGACGGCUAACUACGUGCCAGCAGCCGCGGUAAUUC